UGCCAGCCGCCGCGGUAAGACGAACCGUCCAAACGUUAUUCGGAAUCAUUGGGCUUAAAGGGUGCGUAGGCGGCCCUGCAAGUUGGGUGUGAAAUGCCUCGGCUCAACCGAGGAACUGCGCUCAAAACUGCAGGGCUUGAGGGAGAUAGAGGUGAGUGGAACUAUAGGUGGAGCGGUGAAAUGCGUUGAUAUCUGUAGGAACACCGGUGGCGAAAGCGGCUCACUGGAUCUCUUCUGACGCUGAGGUACGAAAGCCAGGGGAGCGAACGGGAUUAGAUA
rnacentral:rRNA from 1 species